rnacentral:rRNA from 1 species
UACGUAGGGGGCAAGCGUUGUCCGGAUUUAUUGGGCGUAAAGAGCGUGUAGGCGGUUUGGUAGGUCCGUUGUGAAAACUCGAGGCUCAACCUCGAGACGCCGAUGGAAACCAUCAGACUAGAGUCCGGAAGAGGCGAGUGGAAUUCCUGGUGUAGCGGUGAAAUGCGCAGAUAUCAGGAGGAACACCAAUGGCGAAGGCAGCUCGCUGGGACGUGACUGACGCUGAGACGCGAAAGCGUGGGGAGCAAACAGG